GCUGGAAGAGGAAGGUGUAUAGGUAACUUUUGCUUAGAGAGGCAGCUCAGUAAUGGUUCUGUGUUUCAUCAAAUGGGUCUGAUGGACAGCAGAGCUAUCCUCACAAAGAACCUCUUGUCAAUGCCCUGGCAGAUGCUGCUGGAUGUUGCCCCAGCUGGAUGAGGAGGCUGCUGGCAAGUUCUUAUCUUUGGGUACUGGUUACGGGUCUGCCAAGAUGCGGGGGAAGAUGUGUUCAUUGCUCACAGUAACCAGAGCAGAGUCCUUCCGUAUGGAGCAGGAGGAGAGUGACUGAGACCCCUCAGAACAGUAUAGAAGCUGAAGAGCAAUAAGGAGUCAUGAUUGAGUUUUGCUUCUCUCGAGCAGCACAGCUGUGAGACUGAAAGUUCUCCAUAGCUUACUUGAAUCUGGGAGACAAAUUAUAGCAUACUGAGAUAUGAUCUUGUUUUGUCGAAGUCUUAGCGAGGUGUGGGAAUGGGCUGGAAGCUCUUCUUCAUGCUGCACUGCCUCCAGAUCACAACCUGGUAACUGCUUUAACCUUGUUACUUCUGCAUGAGCUCUUGCAUUACUGUGUGCCUCACUGCAAAGCUGAUGGAAAAUGCGUCUCAAAGGCAGAAGGAAUAUAAUCCUCCUGGGAUAGAACGGACACAGUCAUCGUGCAUCCCUGCAGCUUUCCAUGGCCACUCAUGUUUGUGGGCUACACCAUGUGCCAAUACCCAAAUACCUACCACUGCAUGCAAGGACAAAGCUGUCCAACUGCUGUGAUGCUGACAUGAGAGCACUAGGGACUCGUUCUGUAAGAAGUUUGAGACAGUUACCAUCUACUCAUUCCUCCCUGUUUCUAAUUAGUUAUGGCACUGGCAUAAAGCGGGGUCUGUGUCUAUUAAGUCUUCAUCUGCUCCUCCUUAUUCCCACAUGAAGUCAUUAUCCUUCAUGUCAUCCCAACUGUGCGCUAUGGAAGUGAUUUAGGAUGUCUCAAAACAGAGCAUAAUGACCUCAGGUAUUGAAUAAAUGGAAGGAAAAGAGCUCUUGUGUCACACACAGCUGGUAACAAGCAGAGGGAGAUGGGGGAAAGGAACUGGGGAGAAGCUGAUGCAUCUGUGGAGGAAUUUGAAGAACAAUCAUGAGAUUUUUACACAUGGCAGAUGUCUAAGAUAUUUUGACGGAUUCUUCUUGGAGCCUCUAAGCCACAGCAGGGCCCUGCCACAUAUUUUGUUCUUCGUAUAAUGAUGCUGUGCCAUUUGUACGGCAGUAUUGCUGUGCUCUUGGGUGGUACCAGCAGGACGAGAAGUGUGGUUAACAGUUGGCUUCGAGGGCCAAGCAGAAAUAUCAGCCUGCAGUUCAGUCCCUAGCCAAGAAUGAGGCACUCAAGAGCAAGGAAACAGAUUUCUUUUCUAAACAAGGGAUCAAAGCGUGAUGGACAAACACUAAUAUCUUCCAGCCACGUGAAGCAACAAGAGGUGGUUUGGUAGUAACAGCUCGUGGUAAUCACAGGGACAGUGAGUACCAAUGGAAGAUGUCACAGGGUAUCUUGCCACGCUUCUACUACAGACAAAGCUCCAGUUCAAAUGCUGAAAGAAAUGAGCUUUGACCUGCAAGGCAGUGCUGCUCACCGGGCCCUUCCCAGCCUGGCUGCUGCGGUCAUACUUUCAUCAUCUUCCUUCAGCUGUUGAAUGGGGUUUCAACCUUUGCCAACAGGCACCACUUGUGCAACUUACAGCUGAGCUUGCCUUGGAAACACUGCCAGGCAGAGACCACCCGUGCUGAUGGUGCCCUUCAUCUGGAGCAUGUAGCUAUUAAAUAAUACUGAUUGCUUCUGAAGGGGCAUCCUGUGCUUACUCCAUCUGGCUUUUUCUUCCUCAAUAACAACCUUCUGAGCCCUGGUCCUUCUGAUACUCCUAGGUCUUUGUUAUUCUCUGGGCAGGGGCAGGUGCCUCCUGUGUUAGCUGGAUCCCAGUUCCUUUGCUCCACUUUCAUGAUUUAAUCUCAUGCAUUCCUCUGGGGCUGUGAGAACCUCCUGCUUCCACCUCAGCCUACAGGUGAAAGCAGUGAGAAGCUACACCUUGUAAUUAUAGUUAUUAUACCAACUAAUAGAGCUCUGCAUAGCACAGAUACCGUCAGCACCUGUCACUGUUGGGAAGCACUGUGUCUCCAGCCCUGCUGUCAGACUGGGCACAGAUCUGCUGCCCAGAGCUGAGGGGUGAGCCCUGACACUGCCAGCUUGCACGUGGGGCCAAAUUCAUCUCUGGGCUUCAGGAAACUUCUGGAUGUGGAUCUUGAGUAUGAGAGGACAAUGAUGCUGUGCCAGAAGGCACAGUUUAAGUGUGCUGCCAGCUGCCUUCUGCCUCAUUCUUUUUGCCCAUCCAAACAGCAGGCACCGUGCUGCUGCUCACAGCCUCCUUUCUCUCCCCCUUCUGUCUCAACGGCAAAUUGCUGCUGUGCCUCUCUGAGGCUGAUCUUAAAAAGGUGAGAAGCUCUCAUUAUGCAGAUGUUUUCAAACAAGCCUGUUAGGAGGGGAGGAGGAAAAGUCAGAGAGUCACAUCAUCGAUGUGACCGAACAGGGAUAGAGUUAAUUGGAGCUCACUCUUUGCACCAUCUUCUGCUGAAUGCCUGUGUGAACCCCAGGCUGGAGAAGCAAUUUAGCUCACUGCCUGUAUAAAAUGAAACUGUAGUAGCUUCUUGGGUGAACUUUACAGUUAACAAAGGAUGAUCUGGUCUUGAUCAAAGAUGUUCUGUUCCUGGAGGACUGGAGUUCAAGCACAAGUCUCUGCUUGUGAUAAGAGAAGGGGUUUCCGCAUCACCAAAGGUAAACCCUGAGGAGCCUGAGCUCAAACUCCACUUUCACAUCAGCACUGACUCUACGCUUGAUCUCUUCCUUUAAUUCUCCCUAUUGUGUACUGCCCUCUGCUAGGCUGAGACAGCCUUCCCCAUAGCACAAGUGAGGUGUGAUGUCACCAUCAGCCUUUUUUGCUGUGUGCUCAUGGGACACAUACAUUUCUGCCAUGUUCUCCAACCAGACCGGCUCCGAGCAGUAGGGUUGGGACCACAGAGAAAGAGAGAGCAGCUCUGGGUGGUGAGCAGCCAUCGCCUCAUCCCUCCAGGCCUGAUGUAACCCAUGCAGCUCUGGAAGGCUGAUGGAGCUGUGGGGGAGCUGCUGACACCACAUAGCCAUCAGCCAUAGGAUCAGCUGGUGCUGAGGACUGCUGUUAGCUCUAUAUCAGUGUGGCUGCACUGAAUAAUCACUAUCAUGUGUGGGAAGUGGGAGAGAGAAUGCGGGUUCCUAAUGAGCAGCACAGGGUCGCCUGAGGUGAGUGAUCCAUGGCUGCAUUCCCUACCUGUGCCACGGGGAUGGUGCUUCUGUUCUCACCUCGGUUUAUCUUCUCUGUUUGGAUUUCAAGCUCCUCAGGGCUGUGUCUUGCUGCAUGUAUGUACAGUUCCUUGCUUAAUAGAGUCAUGAUCCAAAGUGAAGCCUCCGGGCACUCCUGUAUAUUAUAUCCUUACUAAUUUCACAAGAGGUUGCAAUCAAAUUCCUUUAUCGGGGGGGAAAAAAAAAGUCCUAGAGAAGAAUAAAGAAAGCUAUUAAAAACUGAGGAGCAUUCUACUGAAGCAGAAAUAAUGGCACUUUGUCCCAAAAUGUAUAAAAUAUGUAUUGCAAUUAAACUCUCUAUUGGCAAAUUGCUCUCCAAUUAAAAAACACAGAAGCUUGAGUGAGGCAAUUAGAAUAAUAGUAGUGUUAAUUAUAGCUUGAUGGAUUCUGCAUGCUGUCAGCAAUUACCUUCCAAGUGUGCACUUUCUGAACCGAAUCCAAAUCCACAAAAAGACACGACAGAAUUAGAAAUCUCUUCCGUGUUGGCAUGCCUUUGCCACUUUAAAAUUUGUUUUCCUAAAUACUUUUGUAAGCUAUUUAAUUAGGCUUGAUGAGGUUCAAGGCAGAAGCAUCCUAUGCUCCGUACACAACUCCGUAGCACAGAUUCGGGCUUUGGGACAAGGCAGGAGCAUUGCGAGUGCACCCAUUUCCCACUGUGUGCUGGUGGGGACUGAUCCCCAGUGCACAUGCAAUGAGAUUUAGCAUGGAUCAUAGAAUUGUUUGAGUUGCAAGGGACCUUAAAGGCCAUCUGGUCCAUCUCCUCUGCAGUGUACGGGGAUACCUACAGCUCCAUCGGGUGCUCAGAGCCCAUCCAGCCUCACCUUGGCUGUCUCCAGGGACAGGGUGUCCCCCAUCCCUCUGAGUGAUCUGUUUCAGUGCUUCACCCCCCCUUAUUGUAAAGUAACAACAGGACCUCCUAAAGUGUCUCCCCCUCUUUCUUACAGGCACCCUUAAGAUACUGAAAGGCCAUUAUCAGGUCACCCAGGUUGGUCAGGGGCUGCUUUCUCCUAAUUUGCAGACAGCUUUUAGAUAAACAGAAGGACUAAACGCAAGGAUUCUCCUAUUUUCUCCAGUUCUUGGAGGCUGAAACACAACCCCGACCCACUGUGAAUCUCUUCUCUUCUUGAUGUUCUCCCUUGGAUUAACAAAAACCUAAUCCCUCAGGUUCUACCUCUGCCUGAAAACAGUGCCCAUUGAUUCUUUGGAGCUGUAUGGAGGCAUGGCAGCCAUCCUGAUCCGAUAGGAUCAUCUGUGCUGCUGAAUGUCAUUAGAGAAGUUGUUGGAUGGGAUACCAGAGGGUCCUGGUGACCCCAGGGUGGGGUGAGGGAAGCUCUUGCAGAGGCUUGGGUUUUCUAUUUGGUGUUGAUCUACCAUUGGAUCAUGGAACCCAUCUGGAUGUGAUGCCUGGAGUGUGACCAAAGGUACUUGGAUGCUCUACACUUAGCUCAGGAGCAGCCUCUGGGUGGGCGUGGAUGCCCUGACAUUAACUUUGCUGCAUCCAUUGGAUGAGUCAUGUGCCACCGACUGGAGCGGAGUGCUCUCAUAUCUGCGCAGGGCUUGCCCCCUCCAAUGGUAGAACCCGGGGCUUUCAAACAUGGGGUGAAUUUGGGCAGCUGCUUGGGUUUAAGGUGAGCUGCUCACGUUGUUGCCCUGCACUGCCUCCUUGAAGGUUACGUCCGCGGAUGAUGCUAUAACAUGAGGAAGGUUACGCGGAGGCUGGGGGAGCUCUCGGGCCGGGUCCCCCCUGCGCGCUGCCGGCCGGAGAGAGGCGGGAGCGGCCCCUUUAAGAGGAGCAGAGCGGGGGGGCGAGGGCCGCCCGCGUUCACACCUGGAGUGGGAAAGGGAGGCGGGCCUUAGCGCCUUUGAUUGACGGGCAGCCGGCAUCAAUGAGGCGCCGAGUGGGGGGGCGAUUCUGGCCAAUAGCGG
ensembl:lncRNA